CCUGUGUGAUAUAGAGGUUUGAGUUUCUCUAAAUUUGAGUUAAUAGAAAUUGGUAAUAAGAUUUGUUAUAUUAGACCUUUAUUUUUUAAAGUAUGUUUUAUAAGGGUGAAGAUCUAUUUCUUUUAUUUUUUAAUACACAUGCUCCCAGAAAUGAAGUCUGCAGAUGACUUAUUGCAGUUUAACUACAUGCUGAAUUUUAGUUUAUGAAUCAUGGGAAAAAUUUACUUUCAACUUUAUCUUUAAAAACCCUAAUUAUUCAGUAGAUUCUUUUUAAGAAACCACCAAAAUUUAGGUAAAAUUAUGCUGAAAUAUCAAAAUAUUAAAAUUUCCCGAAAAAAACUCUAGCCUAUAUAUUACACAUCUUUUGUUGGCGCGGCAGUAUAUUUAAGAAAAAUGAAAAAAGUAAAAAAAAAAAUGUAGAGAACUGAAGAAAAAAAUAUGAUACUGCUGAAAACCUGUGUGAUAUAGAGGUUUGAGUUUCUCUAAAUUUGAGUUCAAAGAAAUUGGUUAUAAGAUUUGUUAUAUUAGACCUUUAUUUUUUAAAGUAUGUUUUAUAAAGGUGAAGAUCUAUUUCUUUUAUCUUUUAAUACACAUGCUCCCAGAAAUGAAGUCUGCAGAUGACUUAUUGUAGUUUAACUACAUGCUGAAUUUUAGUUUAUGAAUAAUGGGAAAAAUUGAUUUUCAACUUUAUCUUUAAAAACCCUAAUUAUUCAGUAGAUUCUUUUUAAGAAACCACCAAAAUUUAGGUAAAAUUAUGCUGAAAUAUCAAAAUAUUAGAAUUUCCCGAAAAAAACUCUAGCCUAUAUAUUACACAUCUUUUGUUGGCGCGGCAGUAUAUUUAAGAAAAAGGAAAAAAGUAAAAAAAAAAAUGUAGAGAACUGAAGAAAAAAAUAUGAUACUGCUGAAAACCUGUGUGAUAUAGAGGUUUGAGUUUCUCUAAAUUUGAGUUAAUAGAAAUUGGUUAUAAGAUUUGUUAUAUUAGACCUUUAUUUUUUAAAGUAUGUUUUAUAAGGGUGAAGAUCUAUUUCUUUUAUUUUUUAAUACACAUGCUCCCAGAAAUGAAGUCUGCAGAUGACUUAUUGCAGUUUAACUACAUGCUGAAUUUUAGUUUAUGAAUCAUGGGAAAAAUUUACUUUCAACUUUAUCUUUAAAAACCCUAAUUAUUCAGUAGAUUCUUUUUAAGAAACCACCAAAAUUUAGGUAAAAUUAUGCUGAAAUAUCAAAAUAUUAGAAUUUCCAGAAAAAAACUCUAGCCUAUAUAUUACACAUCUUUUGUUGGCGCGGCAGUAUAUUUAAGAAAAAUGAAAAAAGUAAAAAAAAAAUGGUAGAGAACUGAAGAAAAAAAUAUGAUACUGCUGAAAACCUGUGUGAUAUAGAGGUUUGAGUUUCUCUAAAUUUGAGUUUAAAGAAAUUGGUUAUAAGAUUUGUUAUAUUAGACCUUUAUUUUUUAAAGUAUGUUUUAUAAGGGUGAAGAUCUAUUUCCUUUAUUUUUUAAUACACAUGCUCCCAGAAAUGAAGUCUGCAGAUGACUUAUUGCAGUUUUAAACUACAUGCUGAAUUUUAGUUUAUGAAUCAUUGGAAAAAUUAACUUUCAACUUUAUCUUUUAAAACCCUAAUUAUUCAGUAGAUUCUUUUUAACAGCCAUUGAAAUUAAGGUAAAAAUUUUGAUAAAAUAUGAAAUUUAUGAAUAAAUAGCUUUAUAUUACACAUCUUUUGUUGGCACGGCAGUAUAUUUAAGAAAAAUGAAAAAAGUUUAAAAAAAAAAAUGUGGAGAACUGAAGAAAAAAAUAUGAUACUGCUGAAAACCUGUGUGAUAUAGAAGUUUGAGUUUCUCUAAAUUUGAGUUCAAAGAAAUUGGUUAUGAGAUUUGUUAUAUUAGACCUUUAUUUUUUAAAGUAUGUUUUAUAAGGGUGAAGAUCUAUUUCCUUUAUUUUUUUAAUACCCAUGCUCCCAGAAAUGAAAUCUGCAGAUGACUUAUUGCAGUUUAACUACGUAUACAUGCUGAAUUUUAGUUUAUGAAUCAUGGGAAAAAUUGACUUUCAACUUUUAUCUUUUAAAACCCUAAUUAUUCAGUAGAUUCUUUUUAAAUAGCCAUUGCAAUUAAGGUAAACAUUUUGAUAAAAUAUGAAAUUUUAGAAUUUCCCAUGAAUAAAUAGCCUUUAUAUUUCAUAUCUUUUGUUGGCGCGGCAGUAUAUUUAAGAAAAAUGAAAAAAGUAAAAAAAAAUUAUGCUGAAAUAUCAAAAUAUUAGAAUUUCCCCAAAAAACUUGAGCCUUUAUAUUACACAUCUUUUGUUGGCGCGGCAGUAUAUUUAAGAAAAAUGAAAAAAGUAAUAAAAAAAAUUUGGAGAACUGAAGAAAAAAAUGAUACUGCUGAAAACCUGUGUGAUAUAGAGGUUUGAGUUUCUCUAAAUUUGAGUUCAAAGAAAUUGGUUAUAAGAUUUGUUAUAUUAGACCUUUAUUUUUUAAAGUAUGUUUUAUAAAGGUGAAGAUCUAUUUCUUUUAUCUUUUAAUACACAUGCUCCCAGAAAUGAAGUCUGCAGAUGACUUAUUGCAGUUUAACUACAUGCUGAAUUUUAGUUUAUGAAUAAUGGGAAAAAUUGAUUUUCAACUUUAUCUUUAAAAACCCUAAUUAUUCAGUAGAUUCUUUUUAAGAAACCACCAAAAUUUAGGUAAAAUUAUGCUGAAAUAUCAAAAUAUUAGAAUUUCCAGAAAAAAACUCUAGCCUAUAUAUUACACAUCUUUUGUUGGCGCGGCAGUAUAUUUAAGAAAAAUGAAAAAAGUAAAAAAAAAAAUGUGGAGAACUGAAGAAAAAAAUAUGAUACUGCUGAAAACCUGUGUGAUAUAGAGGUUUGAGUUUCUCUAAAUUUGAGUUCCAAGAAAUUGGUUAUAAGAUUUGUUAUAUUAGACCUUUAUUUUUUAAAGUAUGUUUUAUAAGGGUGAAGAUCUAUUUCCUUUAUUUUUUAAUACACAUGCUCCCAGAAAGGAAGUCUGCAGAUGACUCAUUGCAUUGUAUAUUUAAGAAAAAUUCGUAAGGGUUCCGCGGAACCCAGUGUCUCGCCUAUUUUUGCUGUUAAUUGCAGGCUCAACAAAAAUGAGGGAAAAAAAAUUAUAAUAUUCCUCUCGAUACUAUCUUUUGAUUGUAAGAAGCUUCUGUCCAAGUUUAGUAAAAAUCCAGGAUAGUUUAUGAAUCUAAUAAAUGUUUUAAAAACUUUUAACAGCAGACUGUAUGUAAUGUUAACUGGAAGAAAAACCAUUUAUAAAUAAAAUACGGAAAAACAGGGACAAAACUUCCUUCUAGAUACUAGCUAUUGAUCAUAUGCAAGCUUCUGUCCAAGUUUGGUACAAAUCCAGGAUAGUUUAAGAAAGUUAUUAAAAUUUUAAAAACUUUAUCCACAGAGUGAAUGUAAUGUUUCCUGGCAGAAAAACUAAGUCCAUUUAUAAGUAAAUUACGGAAAAAAUGGAAUUUUUUUUUUACACAAUUUACUUCUGGAUACUAUCUUAUGUUCAUAAACAAGCUUCUGUCCUAGUUUGGUAGAAAUCCAGGAUAGUUUAAGAAAGUUAUUAAAAUUUCAAAAACUUUAACCACAGAGUGAAUAUUUGUGGCCGACGCCGACGGAAUGUAGGAUCGCUAUGUCUCCCUUUUUCGACAAAAGUCGAAGGCUCGACAAAAAUGAAAAAAUAAAAGAUGGAGAAAAGAAUAUGAUACUGCUGAAAAUUUGUUGGAUUUGAGUUUUUAUAAAAUUUGAAUAUAAGGAUAUAAGUAUUAAGGAUCUUGUACAGUCAAACCUGUUUUAAGCAUGUCACUCAUGGGAAGUAUCAAAAAGGGACGGCUCGAGAAAAGUGACCUUUAAAAAGAGUUUCUGUGGCUGGGAAUGCAACUUGGUUUAGUGUUUUAGUUGGAAGAUUUAUCAUUCGUUUGUUCGUUCUUUCGUUCGUGUGAGCAGACAAAUAUUAAAGGGUGGACUCUUGCACUGUCAAUUUGACGAAGACAUUUAUUGAUUUAAAGGUGUUGAUAUAAUUGGAUAAACAAGUCUGUGAAAUGCUUUUCAAUGGUAUUAAUUGAAGGGAGUGGAAUACAAGGAUUCACAAAUUUACUUCAUAUUGCAAGAUCUAUGUUGCAAACCGUGAAACGGGUUCCGAUUCUCAUUUUGAUUUUUAUACUGAACACACAUAUUUUUCAUCAUGAUUAUAAUUGUAAUUAAAAACAGUAAAAUGAUGAUUUCGUGCAAAAAAUAAGGUGACCGCAUAGGACAGGUGACAACUGAAAUGAGUUAAAUAUAUAGAGAAAAUGCUUGAGAGGGUCACCAAGAGACCAUAGAGAUAGUUGACCUCUUAAACAAGGUGGUGACCUUAAGGCAGGUUUGACUGUAUAAUGAUUAUUUUUUUCACAUCUAGAAUUUUUGUAAUCAAUAAAUCAUGUAAAGAGUGACUUUCAAUCAACUUGAUCAUUAACAACCAUUGUUUAAGAAGUUUCUUUUUAAACAUAAGCAGCAACUGUUUUUUUAAAGGAAAUACCUACAUGCAUGAGAUGCAAAGAGUGGAAUGAUCAGCAAGGAGACAUGAAAUUCAUUUUCAGGUAUAAUUGGAUUGCUGCUACAUAAGAAAAGUUCACAAUCAGGAAAUUGAAGUCUCUUUUGUCAAAUUAUUAGCUCUCAGCUGGUCCUUGCUGAUAGUUUCUGGGCGACGGCAAGUUUUGAAGCACAGUAUGCCGUAUCUGUUGUAUCCUUCUUCUGGUUCAGUGGGUUAGGUGUAACCAUUUUUGAGUUAUCUAUAUUAAAAGAGAUCGCCUACAUUGUGGAAUGUGAAAUUAAGGGAUAAUGCUUGAUUCUUUUUAUCCUUGAUAAGUGCCUGUAUGAAGUCUGUCUUAAAAGGGGCAGGGUUCCCAUAGCAAUGUCAACAUUUUUAGCUCACCUGGCCAUUUGGGCCAAGUGAGCUUUUCUCAUCACUUGCGUCAGUCGUCUGUUGUCGUUGUCCGUCGUCGUCGUUAACUUUUUACAUUUUGAACUUCUACUAGAGAACUAGUGAAUGGAAUGAAACCAAACAUGGCAUGAUUGUUCCUUAUGAGGUGCUGACCAAGUGUUGUUACUUUGCAGUCAGUCCAUCAUCCAAGAUGGCCGCCAGCGGGGGACUUAGUUUAACAUAGGACCCUAUGGGAAAUACAUACAAAUGUCUUCUUUUAGAGAACCACUGAAUGGAAUGAAACCAAACAUGACAUGAAUGUUCCUUAUGAGGUGCUGACCAAGUGUUGUUACUUUGUAGCCGAUCCAUCAUCCAAGAUGGCCGCCAGCGGGGGACUUAGUUUAACAUAGGACCCUAUGGGAAAUACAUACAAAUGUCUUCUUUUAGAGAACCACUGAAUGGAAUGAAACCAAACAUGGCAUGAAUGUUCCUUAUGAGGUGCUGACCAAGUGUUGUUACUUUGCAGUCGGUCCAUCAUCCAAGAUGGCCGACAGCAGGGGACUUAGUUUAACAAAGGACCUAUGGGAAAUACAUACAAAUGUCUUCUUUUAGUGAACCACUGAAUGGAAUGAAACCAAACAUGGCAUGAAUGUUCCUUAUGAGGUGCUGACCAAGUGUUGUUACUUUGUAGCCGAUCCAUCAUCCAAGAUGGCCGCCAGCGGGGAACUUAGUUUUACAUAGGACCCUUUGGGAAAUACAUACAAAUGUCUUCUUUUAGAGAACCAAUAAAUGGAAUGGAACCAAACAUGGCAUGAAUGUUCCUUAUGAGAUGUUGACCAAGUGUUGUUACUUUGCAGCCGAUCCAUCAUCCAAGAUGGCCGACAGUGGGGGACUUAGUUUAACAUAGGACCCUAUGGGAAAUACAUACAAUUGUCUUCUUUUAGAGAACCACUGAAUGGAAUUGAACCAAACAUGGCAUGAAUGUUCCUUAUGAGUUGCUGACCAAGUGUUGUUACUUUGCAGUCGAUUCAAUAUCCAAGAUGGCCGCUAGGGGGGGGGGGCUUAGUUUAACAUAGGACCCUAUGGGAAAUACAUACAAAUGUCUUCUUUUAGAGUACCA